GACGAACGCUGGCGGCGCGCUUAACACAUGCAAGUCGAGCGAGAACCAGGGCUUCGGCUCUGGGGACAGCGGCGAACGGGUGAGUAACACGUGAGUAAUCUGCCCUCGACACUGGGAUAGCCCGGGGAAACCCGGAUUAAUACCGGAUAGCCUUUCGAGCUCUCGGGCUCGUCAGAAAAGGAUGGCUUCGGCUUUCGGCUGAGGAUGAGCUUGCGGCGGAUUAGCUUGUUGGUGAGGUAACGGCUCACCAAGGCGACAAUCCGUAGCUGGUCUGAGAGGACGAUCAGCCACACUGGGACUGAGACACGGCCCAGACUCCUACGGGAGGCAGCAGUGGGGAAUCUUGCGCAAUGGGCGAAAGCCUGACGCAGCGACGCCGCGUGAGGGAUGACGGCCU
rnacentral:rRNA from 1 species